GACGAACGCUGGCGGCGUGCUUAACACAUGCAAGUCGAACGGAAAGGCCCAGCUUGCUGGGUGCUCGAGUGGCCAACGGGUGAGUAACACGUGGGUGAUCUGCCCCUAACUUCGGGAUAAGCUUGGGAAACUGGGUCUAACACCGGAUAGGACAAUCGUUUAGUGUCGGUUGUGGAAAGUUUUUUCGGUUAGGGAUGAGCCCGCGGCCUAUCAGCUUGUUGGUGGGGUAAUGGCCUACCAAGGCGUCGACGGGUAGCCGGCCUGAGAGGGUGGACGGCCACAUUGGGACUGAGGUACGGCCCAGACUGCUACGGGAGGCAGCGGUGGAGAACAUUGCACAAUGGGCGCAAGCCUGAUGCAGCGACGCCGCGUGGGGGAUGACGGCCUGCGGGUUGUAAACCUCUUUCGACAGGGACGAAGCUUUGGUGACGGUACCUGAAUAAGAAGCACCGGCUAACUACGUG
rnacentral:rRNA from 1 species